rnacentral:rRNA from 1 species
GUGUCGUGAGACUGUUCGGUUAAGUACCGGCAACGAGCGCAACCCACAUCUUUAGUUGCCAGCAGUUCGGCUGGGCGACUCUAAGAAACUGCCCGUGAUAAGCGGGAGGAAGGUGUGGAUGACGUCAAGUCCUCAUGGCCCUUACGGGUUGGGCUACACACGUGCUACAAUGGCAGUGACAAUGGGUUAAUCCCCAAAAACUGUCUCAGUUCGGAUUGUCGUCUGCAACUCGACGGCAUGAAGUCGGAAUCGCUAGUAAUCGCGUAACAGCAUGACGCGGUGAAUACGUUCCCGGGCCUU